AGUUGUAAGCAAUCACGCACUCAGGCAAAUAAAUUAACUAAUUUCAUAAAUUUUCCCUUAUGAAGCGUUGAAAAAUCUAUAAAAACCUAUUUCAGAAGGCUAAUAUGGAUUUCAUACCGUUGAAAUAAUAAUCAUAAUUGAUAAAAUAGUUAAUUAUAAUGAACGUUCUCAAAUUUCAUUGCGCGCCUUAUGAUUUCCAUUGCUGUCAUUAGUCAUUUCCUCAAUGAUACCAUCAUUCAUAAGGCUAUUAUGGAUUUCAUAUUAGUUCAAUGAAAACCAUAAUUGCGAAGCAUGUUAUCCCUCAUUAACGAAUAUCAAUUUCAUUGGGCCACCUUAUGAAGCACAUAGCUGUCGCUAGUGUGAAAAACUCAUAAGGUUGUUAUUAUGAAAAUUUGCAAAUGGAAAAAUAACUGGACGCGGAUCCAUUUACGGAAGCAUCAUAAAUUUGUUCGAAUAUUUUCAAAGAUAGAAUUUUAUAGGCAGGAUCGUCAUUCGACUGGAGAGCAGCAUGAAAUCACCGCCAUCGUUGACAUCCCGCAUACUGCAGUCAACUUUUUUAUAAGUCUGGUUAUGGGGAAGGAAGUACAGCGAUGGAAGAUUGUAAAAAUCGAAAAAAAAAAA